rnacentral:rRNA from 1 species
UACGAAGGGGGCUAGCGUUGCUCGGAAUCACUGGGCGUAAAGCGCACGUAGGCGGGUUCUUAAGCCAGGGGUGAAAUCCUGGAGCUCAACUCCAGAACUGCCUUUGAUACUGGGAAUCUCGAGUCCGGGAGAGGUGAGUGGAACUGCGAGUGUAGAGGUGAAAUUCGUAGAUAUUCGCAAGAACACCAGUGGCGAAGGCGGCUCACUGGCCCGGUACUGACGCUGAGGUGCGAAAGCGUGGGGAGCAAACAGG